UUCCUUCAGCCUGAAGUUGGAAUGUAACCACGGGUCAGAAACUGAAAAUUCCACUUGCAUUAAAAUUACACUUUGUCAUUAGAAAUGUUUAUAUUUCAUUAAAAAAAAAAUCUUUCAUGUUUCUCUAUUCUUUAGAGAAGAAAUAACUAUUGUAUUUGGUUUGGAAUGGAUGAACAUAAUCUCAAAUCUUUGUUUGCAUCACUGUGCAGCAUACCAUUUUCUCAAAUGAAAGCUCACAGUAUUUGCAGAGCAGAUGGCAGAAGUGUGUGUGAUUACCUCACUGCUUCUUUGUACUGAGCAGAGAUGGAGGCGAAUUAGGGCCCAUCAGCAGGAGGGGUGUUUGUUUUCUUCCCCAGCAAACCAUCAAAGAAUCCCGGAGCACGUCUUAACUAUUGAGACUGAAAAUUGGGUGAAUUUUGUCUGCCUGAUUCUAGUAAAGACUUGUGUAUUACUUAUAGGGAAAUUCUUUCAGAAAAGUUGCUGGAAACGGUGAGCGCCGUGUAGGAGAUAAUACAGUAACCAAUCUUAGGCCUUUCACGCACAUGGAAGCUUUAACUGAGUAGAACUGUGAGAAAAAAGCUGUGUUGACCAAAGCCCAGGUACAGAUGAAAUUAUACAAGCAAAAAAAAACCCAUUUGCCAAUACUUUCUUUGUUUCCUGUUGAGACAUCUGUAUGAUGCUUUUGCCAAUACAGCCACUUUCCACGCCAAAUUCCCAGCUUGUGCAGCUCUACCUGCAGCCAAACAUUCGGAACGCAAACAAGGCUAAAGAUGGCUAAGUCAGUAUUAUUUCACAUCUUGGAGCAUGAAAAUUUCAGGUUCCUUACCAUUCCUGUUCUGGGGGGGAAGCUGUACUGCAGGAGUUAGCUCCUGAUUCUGCAGUUUUGUGUUGGGCCUGUGACAUUAAGGCACAGCACCGAUUUCUGUCAGGUCACACAGCCUGAAGCUGAGCGAAGCAACAGUGAGCAUGAAGAAAGGAUGCAUCCAAAGCCACCUCUGUACCAGCAGGAGUCAUACGCAGAGCUAGCUGCUGUGCAAAGCUCAGCAAAGCCACAUUUGGUGUAUGUGAUAUCCGGCUCUGUGCUCCUUGUGAUCCAAGGCCUGGACCCCUGCAGAGGGAUUUCUGGCACAGGAGGUGACAUAAAAUGGUGCCGGCAGCCAUUCUUUGUGUCUACCAAAGGUUAUGGGCAGCUCGACAUUUUCCAGCGUUAAAUGCCAGAAAUCUGUUCACUGGAAAAAUUUAGGCAGUGCUAAUUAAAAAGUGAUAGCUUAAUGCUUCCCAAGACCCUGUUUUGAAUUGUGGAGGUAUUAUCUGGCCUGUAGCAACAGCUCUAUCGUCUGUCACAGUUCACUGAGACAGUCAUUUCCAGUGGAAACACAUUGGUUUAGACAAAACUUUGCCAGAAAUGCAAUUUAAAGGGAGAGACGGGGAGGUGAAAAUAAACAACAACUCAGUGGUAAUUGCUGCUCUUUUAGGAAGCUGAGCACCAGUUCAGGUCUGUAGUGGGACUUGCGCAGAGCAGGGAGGUGCGCCUGCAGCCACGCAUUCUGACCUUACUCCUUCCUACUGGGCUCUUUGUGGUUUUAGGAUGGUUCAUACUUCUCCCUCCAGUUGGUUUGGUUUGUGAGAUUUAUUGGCAAGUUCCUGAUAAGCUACAGGAGUAUUUUUAGUCUUUAGUGACUACUGUGUGCUGCCGUUGCACAGAGACAGCGUCAUUCGCAUGCUUUAUUAGACAUUUGCCUAUUCUCCAGCACUUCUGUGCUGUAAUGGAUAAUUUGGCGAGAUGCAUAACAAAAUUUGUUAGCUGCUUUUUUUGUGUGUGUGUGUGUCAAGCUGGAAGCUCCUGUUUGACAUCCAUUUCUGUGGAAUUAGCCAAGUGGGGCAGCAAACAGAUUUGGUAUUUCUGCUCAUUGUAGCAUGGAAGGCAAAGGUUAUCACCACCACAGGACACAAGGAGGGGCGGGCACUCCUCUGGGCUGUCUCUGGAGCUGUGCUGAUGGUGUCUGGUGAAGCAGAUCUGCUGCAAAUUACAGCAUGUGGUUAUGCAUCAAUUUACGCUCCCGCCUGUUGCCAACAACGUGCUGUGCAUGAAUGGAGCUAACUUGGUAAAUAUGCUCUCUAGUAACUGAAAAUAACCAAGUGCUGUUGAAAGGAAUAAUUAAUCAAUGUUUGCAAAGCAUUUAGAAACUGAAAACCACGGUAUUAGUGCUAAGUGUUCAGGGCUUUAGCUUUCCCAUCAGAAGUCUCAGUUUUUCUCUUUGUUAGUCUUUAACCAAACAAAACAUUAAGAGUGCAAAGUCUUUUUGUCUAAUGUCCCCAGUCAGGUGGUUUUGUGCUCGGCAGUUGUUAAAAUGCAGUAAGUAGACCAGAAGAAACUAUAAAUGGGGUGAAUCAGCUCAUUUCUACUGAUGCUGGCAGAAAUGAGUUGAGUUAUGUUAGCUGGAGAUCAACAGCAGGCUCUGUAACACAAUUUCCUCCACUUGCCUAUUGGGCUCAGCCAGCCAGAACCAGUAACUGGCUUAUUCCCUGCAGCUCCCACCUCUCUGAACCCAGGUGCCAGGGAUGGAUACAACACUGUGUUAGGGCACAGGCUUCCCUGCACAGCGAGGCAGACAAAUUGUAUGGCUCAGAGCUGCUAUCUGAGGCAGCCAGCAUGCUCGAUGAACAGCCCAGUGAUACCCGUGAGCAGAAAUCCCAUUUAUCAGGUGUGCUGUGCAGAGAGGUGGCACUGAUGUCUGACCCCUGGCUCGAGAACUCAGGGGAACAAGGAAGCAUCUGUGUCUUUCCUUCCAAAGUGCCUUGGCUCCCUCACAAACAAGUCUUCAUGAAGCUGCAGUCCCCAGCAGAAUGGUGGUUUUACCUGGGAAGCCAAAAGGGCUGUAAGCCACUCAGCAGGAACCAUUUGGGGGUGAGGUGAGGGAUGAGGUUAUGCACUUAGACGGCCCCAGCCAGUCCCCCAUGCCCCUAUCUCUGUGUGCGCAACUGCUCCCUUCUCUGUUCUGAAGGCUAAUCUGUACCUCCAGACGUUUACAGUCAAUAUUCUUAUCUGCUCAGUGUGGUGUUAAUCUGUAUUUCAGAGAGGGAUGAGUGGGAAGACAGUCUUGUUGAAAACAGGGCACUGUGCAGAAGGCAGUUUAAGGCUAAUUGGCUGGAAAAAGCAUUGCACUGGUCCUUCAGAGCAUCUCUUUUUAGGGUUAUUGUAUGACUUUCCAACACAAGCUCCCUUUCUCCAGCCAGGAACUUUGUCAGACUAAGUCUGAUGAUGUUGAGCAUCUGUUCCACGCUCAGGACUAUCCAGCAGCUCACGCUGAGCUUCCAGAUUAAUGUAAAUCCAGAUGAUGUGCCCACUUCAGCUGUGCAGUGCACGAGCACUGUGCCCAAGUAUACAUCACAUGAUGUCCCAGAACUGUUCCUAUGAAUGUGUUGAUGUAAAAAUAACUGAUUAUUCAGAUGCUAGUGGAAUUUUCAAGACAAACAGGGAGGCCCAUGUGCAUUUUAAGUACUUCCCAAGUAAAACAGCAGUUCAGCACAGGUAGGGAAGGAAAAAGGAUUACAUAUUUAGAUUAAGGUAUCUCAAUGUAUUUUUUGGAUCUUGCCUUUUUUGGAUCUGCUCAGUGCUGGUCUGACUCAUCUCUUAGGUGUUUCUUCUCACAGGAGAUCAGUGACUUUGCUGCUGCUGGAUUGACUGGCAGAGUAAGGACGGUUACCUGCCAAGUAAAUCCAGUUAUUCAGCCCUUGCUGGUCCCAAAUAGAGCUCUGUGGCCUAUAAAGGGUCACAUUAAUUAAAAUAAGCCAUCAGAACAGCAGACGUGCUGGGUAUUCACCUCCGCACCAGCCCAGGGCAGAGCAUGUUCAGCUCACUUCAGCAGCAGUGCCACAAAAUCUCUUCAUGACGUUUUUGACAGAGCUAAGUAUUACCAAGAUUUUUUAAUAGUUACCUUUGUAAUUAGCCAUUUUAAAUUCAUUUACUGAAAAUGAGAGGGGCUGGGAUCCUCACGUGUCUUCCUUGCUCCUAUCUUUGCUCGAGUUCACCAUAGAGAGCUUAGUGCAAAAUCCAUAAAGAACCAAAAAAGUGCAUAUUUGAAAGAGCAAUUCAAGCAUAUGUAGAAUGUUCCUGGCUACAUGUAAUUGCAGGCAAGUACUGACAUUUCUGCUGUUCUGGACAAAUGUAUUUAUUUAUUACUUUAUUAACCCACCUCUUCUCUUCAGCAUGUGUUUCUUCUUCUCUCAUUUCCUAAUAUUCCCUGAGUAUUAUUUACCUGAUUUGCAUGACAUACAUGACAAUUGCUUGGGUAGAUCAAACCAAUGACACCACAGUGUUACAAAGAACUAGACGGGGUGUUGUAGUGCUUUUUGGAAGGGCAGAACUUUCCUUUCUUACUGGUAGUACUUCCUCAAGUCAGCAGUGCUAUGAGAACUGUACUCCUCAAUUCCACAGCCAACACUGAUAUUCUGAGACAAACAUUCACCAUUCUUUGCUGCUCUGAGUAUUCUCUCACCCCAGAGAGGAAUGAUUUUAUUAAUUUAAACAGGAAGAAAUAUGUACAAAAAUGACCCAAAGUCUGAUAUAUACCUGUUGGUAUUGACUAAAUCCUUAUCCUGUGAGGGCAAUGUCAAGGCACCUAUUGAUUGUUCCUGAGUAAAUAUCUUGUUGAAGUGGCACUGUCUGUGAAAUUGAAUUACAUAAAUUUUAAUGCCUACAAUAAAAGUUCAUCAGAACUAGCACAGAAACUUCUCUACUUAACUGGAGGUUGACUCAGUUUAUGAAAUGGAGCGAUUUAUCUCCCAAUGGAUCAUGAUACAGGUAUCCAAGUGAACCAUCAGUAAUAAAUAUGGUAUUUCCUCUGUAGUGAUCUGAACAGUGAAUAAAGACUUAAUUUGCAAGUAUUUUCAGAAACUGGGGGAAAACACAGCGAGUUCCCAAGGGUGCAAGUGGACUCGUUUGUAUUUAUAAGUAAGUCAACAUCAAGCUGAUGUGAUUAAACAGUUACUCUGUCAGUGACUUAGCCCUGUUCUUUUCUCCAUCUGGUAGGCAGGCAGGCAGAUUAAAUUUAUGCUGUGUGUUUAUUUUCUUGAAAUAAAAUGAGUUUUGUUUAUAUUUCGAGGCAGUAUGAUGUGGUAACAAAUGUACCAAAUAUAUUAACUUCAAAAAAAAAAGGAAAAAGAAAAGAGGAUUUAGACAAAAAAGAAGACGUGCCUCCCAAGGCACCAUACUUUAUUUAAAGGAAAUGGAAACACACCAUUUUUUUUUUAAAUGCUCAUUUACAGACUUUAAAGAAAAUUAAAUUUAUAGUUUAGCCUCUGAGUUCUGGAACUACCAGUUGUUUCCUGAAAGUGACUUUGUAAUGAGUUUUGGGAAAUCAUUUUAGUAUUGACUUGGGCUGUAAUGGUUGGCUGUUGCUUUUUUGAAUAAGAUUAAUUAAAUUACUCUGAACGAGCUCCAAGUCCAUGCCCUUCUCUGAGGCCAAUUGUGAAUAUGACCAUAAUAAACUCUUAAAAAGUAUUUCAGAAAGUAAAUAAUCUCCAAACCUGGAAGUAUGUCAUUGUGCUCUGGUAAGAAUAACAAACAGCAUUUGCUUCCUUGUUUCAACAUACAUCACUUUGCUUUCGUACCUUGCACUUUCCUCAGUUGUAAGAAGUGAGGGUUAUUUUUGUUUGGUUAAUUUUCUGUACAACAGCAGGAGAUAAUUUUGACUGCAUCUUAAAGAAAGAACCAGAUAAGAAGUAAGUGCAUAGGCACAAAUAAGAGCUGGCAGUUGUACUUCUGAUUUCAACUCUGAAAUGUAGGACUCCUCUUAGUUAUUCAUACUUCGGUAAGCUCAAAUAAAAUACGGACCACAUUAUAUCAGUCUCAAUAAAAACAUACGGAAGUGAAUGCUCUUAAUUUAUAGAAGCUUUGAAAAUCAAUGCCAAAUAUGCAAAGAUUCCAUAAACAGAGAGGUGAAAGGACUUAUCCAAAGCUCCUUUAUGUGCCUGGGCUGAUGACAGUUGACACCAGGUCUUCAGAGCGCCAUGCCAGCGUCCGGUCCAGCGAACACUGCUGCUGCUUGGUAAGCUGGACUGAGAUAUCUCCCCAGAUGCUGCUCUGAUUUUCCACAGAAAUGGUAAGUACUUGGAAAAAUAAGAUAAAAAAAAAGUAAAACAUACCCCAAGGGAAGCCACCAAAAAAUGAUGGGUGUAUGUCUCCCAUAGAACCAUGGGCAAGGUAGACAACAAGAACUGGUGAAAGAAUAGAAGCAAAAGGAAAGAAAACAGUAGAAGUUUGUGGAGUAAUUUAGUAUGAGCAGCUGCACAAAGUAUCUUAACAGCGACAGACCAUCUGCAGUCCCAGUACAGAGAAAGAUCAACAGCUUGUGUGGUAUGAGCUUCCAAAGGAGAGUCUGCUGCACUUCUCAAAUCUCCUGUGAGUUCUCUGAGAUGGAGUAGGUGAGCUGGGAGCACAGCACUCCUGAGAAAAUUUGGUUCUGUAAGGAUGGAGGUUGCUAGGGAGCAAAGCCCUCUUAUGCCAUAAGGAAGGAUUUCUGUUUCCUUGGCAUUACUUUCCUUGCUAGGAAGUCCUGCUCUCAUUCUUUAGGCCAAAAGAUCUGGGCAAGGCUGGUUUGAUGGGCAGAUGAGGGUGGCUGGCAAAGGCUGUGAAUUUUUCUUCUUCCUUGUUCUUAAGUGUCCUUAACCCGUGCUGACAAGAGUAAAAUAGAGACUUGGAGGUCUUAAAUAAACAGGAAUCUUGCAGGGUACAGGUUAAACUAACACUGACAGAGCCAGUAGCUGCAACAAUUUGUAAUUAUAUCCAUGAUCCCAGUGCUCUCUUUCUCAAGGCAAAAAGAUUUGGGUACCAACUUAUGGAGUGAAAUGUCAGUGUUCCCUGCAUUCCCUGCUCCACUGGUGUUCCUCUUUAGGUCUUUAGAAAGAGAACUACUUUGCUCCUAAAACUGAUUAAAGCAUGAAGGAUGAUCUGGUUGAGUGAAUGUGGUAAGAAAUGGCAACCUGUGUCAAAGUUUUUUUGCUCUUAUUUAGUUUAUAUAUUUGUGAUGUUUUUCUACUUUUGGUAGAGAUAAAAGAUUUAUAUUUCAAUGCCUCAAAUUUGAGCUCUAAUACUAUUUUUUACCUUCUACUCUUCUUUUUUCUCUUUAAUUUCUGGUAUUGUUGAGCUUUGGAAAAGAAGAAAUGUUCUCCUGGUAUAUGUACUGGUUUACUUUGUAUUAAUUUGAUUACAUUACUGAUAAACUGAAUUUACUGCUAGUCCACAAACAUGGUGGAUAUGAAUGCUUGCUUCUCACUGGUUUUCUUGAUGGAAUUUUAACCAUGUUUUGCUACAAAUGGAAUCUCAGUUAAAGGAGUAAUUAGUACUUCUGUCUGUUGAAAAUAAUAUUUUAAAUAGCUGUAGUUAAUCCUAAGAAUUGGAGAAUACUCCUUCAUGUAUUAACGUGUUAUUUUAUAUGUUUAUAUAUAUAUAUAUGUUAUAUAUACCUAUUUUAUAUGUUAUACAUAUUAUAUAUGUUAUAAUAGCUAAAAUCACAUUAUUCUCCAAUAAUCCCUGCUUGGUGGGAUGGCAUUCAAGCUCUGAGUGGUGCUGACACCUCUUACACCUCUAAGAAUGGAAAACAAAGCAGUCACUUGAGCUCUUUAUUUAUCAGCCAGUAUCUCACUGCAUGUAAUUUGUCUGGUUUUUUAGCAAAGGAAGUAGGACUGCACUCUACCUGAAAAGCUGAUGUCCUAAAUGACUGAUGUAGAAGCAGGUAAGCAUAAAAGAAUACUGGAUACAGGACCCCAAACCUCCAGUAGACCAAGAGAAAGAAGUUUAAACCCUUGCAAAUACUGGGCCAAAUACAGCCAUAUCACAGGCUAAGUCAAGUCUACACAUGCCAUUGGACACAGCUAAGAAGAAAAUGAGCUUCAGCCACUGUGCCUUUCCUCCGUUCUCUGAAAGGGCAGAGGUUCUGGCAGACAGAACUUUUAGCAGAUUCAAGAGGGCGAAUUUGACAACAAUUCACAGUGAGUAGAUGCACAUUAAAGCAAAGGAAAUUUGUUUGCUUCAAGUAAAGAGUGGACAGUUUCACUGCUAGUGCUGAGGACAAGUUGUAUUCAGAAAACAGCCUCGUUUCCUUUGCCUUGUGUCUUGUGCAGAGGCUUCUUGCUGUACAUGGACUGUGAAGUUUAUGGCUAUGGGGAUUUUAGAACUAGAAGCAUCUCUGACAACCCAGUUGCAUUGUUUUUUUCUCUAUUUUAACAGCAGAUCUUUUUCAGUAGGCGGUGUGAAAAGAAUUGUUUUCAAUUAUUCUUGGCUACAUUUUUUCCCACAGAUUCUGACUUAAUUAGACUCAUUAACAAGACCAAGCAACAUAUUGUCUGUGGGAAAAGAUUUCAGAUGAGAGAAGACUGUUAUACCAUUUUAUUCAAAUCCUUCUGCCAGGAAAAAGCAACUUGACCAAAACAGGGAGGCUUCCAAGAAGUGGCUGCAUUGCUCCUGAAGCUGUUUUUGGAGAGAACAGGGUUUAUUUUUGCCAAAAAAAUGUAACUGUUUUUGUUGAAAAUAUCUGCUUUGCUUUCUAAAAUGUACUUUGUCCACAAAUAUUGCUAUCGGUAGGUCAACUCACAGUGAUCCCACUAGGAAAGACAGAUGCUUCAAGAUUAAUUCUUCAGAUGUAUUUUUUUGCUUAGUGGGGACCCAUAUGGAUGUAGAGACAGUGCACUGGGCGGUAUCCUUUCCUCAGCGCCUGUGCCUGCUAUGGGAGGCCACCCAGCUCUGUCACAGUGGGGAGAAGACAGAAAAGCAAAAAGAACAGAGGAGAGGAAAAAGGAUAGAUAUAGAAAAUUAAUGCUCGGGAGAGGGAUUGCUAGUUCUUUAGGGGAUUUCCAGCACACAGUCUAUGGAAAAUUUUUAUCCACAUCCAAACUGGUCAGAAAUUUCUUUCAGGAACUGCCAUCACUAACCCUGAGGCAGCUGGCAGCUGCAGCACUCUUCAGGCUGCACCAGAGAUAAGGAACCCAAACUACACAUGGACCCUUAAGUGGAGGAAGGAGGGACUUGCAGAGGGCUCCCAGACAGCAGAAUACAGAGGACAGUAGCAAACUUCAUGUACCAAUGGGCAGUGACUGUUGGUGCCCAUCCAGUUCUUUGGAUGUAUUAUACAUGGAACUGCUGUUAACAUAUAAGCAGCCACUGCUAAAUUAUAACCUUAAAGACGAUGGGAUUUCACCAGUGUCAGCAUCUGUUGUUCAUAAAGGAAUUGGGAAAUGGCCCAGCGUCACAUCCAGCUCUGAUCAUGAACAAAUACACUUUGACUUGGACAUGACCUGAUAUUCAAACUAGCAGUAGAUGGAAAAGAAGACAAACAGUUUUUUCAUGAGUUUCAAACACACCUUAAGCAGCUCCGGGACCUUCCAUCAAGAUAACUUGAUAAACCUUGUACGUUUACCUACCUUGACAGUUGUUCAGAUGUCAUGCUAUUUUGGUUUUAGAUUAUUUAAACUAAUGCCUGCUGUCCCACAAGAUACAGGUGAUUGCAAAGGCAGAAAGGUCACCUAAUGAAGCCUGAACUGACCUAGGAAUAUGGGCUUGGCUCCAUUCCCUGCAGUAAAACUUCAGUGCAGAAGAUCAAAUGUGAGAUUCACCUACCUCUGAGCACAGACGUGUUCCAGGACAAAGUUUGGCAUGCAGGCCCUUCUACUCAGGCAGAACAGUACACGACAAAUGUAUCACUGCACAGUGACAGCAGCAUGCCACAAGGUCAGAGCCACAAGCAGCAUGCCACAAGGUCAGAGCCUGGGUCAUAAUUCACCCUAUUAUAUCUGUUUAAUCCAUUCCUUAUUCAUUUUACUACAUGUAUUUCCUACUGAUUAUAUACCUUGUCAUGCAUCUCCAACUGACUUUUAAUCUCCAUGAUUUAAUCUUCAUUAUGGAGUCACCGGGUAUGACCAAGUUUUACUUAUUAGCAAAAACAUUAUGUAUUUUUUGAUGUUCUAAUUGGAAUAUUUCCAAUCUGAAUAUCCUCACUGUGCUCUCUCUCAGGUGUCUGUGUCACCUCCAGUACUCUCAUGGACUGCACACAUUCUGCUCAUUAAUCUACAUACCAUCACUUCUGGUGCAAAGCAAUCAUACUUAGGCUUUCUGAAAGCAGUAUAACAAUAUUUCAGCCUAUAAGCCAAUCCAGGUACUCAGACAGAAAAUACAUCUAGUCAGUUGUGUUUACAUAAAGACAUUUAUAGGGUAUGUUAUCACAAUAGUCUAUUACUUAGUAGAGCUGGUUGCAAAGUAAAAGAAAUACUACUUAUUACUGUAGUUUAGACUCUAGAAGCCUUCUUUUAAUGGUUACAUAAUACCAAAAGCUCGCCCUUGGAUCUCCUGCUUGCUAGAAAACCUGAUUUCUUGUAUUUUUUUAAUCAGAGAACAAGGAGUUGUCUCAAACGAAAAAGAAACCAAAACAAAAAAAUAUUUUCAUUUAAAAAUUACUUUUUUUCCAUUUGUUCAAGUAAAUAUUAACUGCAGCAGAUAUCCACAGCCCUCUUGAAAAGGUAAAACUUCCUAAGGCUUCUAGAAAUGCACAGCUAGACAGAGAAAGUGAGCUAACAGCCUCAUUGUUAUUAAUAAAAUAAGCCUGGUGAUACAUAGCAGUAUCAUUUGGUCACCAUGGCCCCCUCUAGCCCUACCCAAAGCUGAAACAGAAAGAAUAUCCCACCUGUGUUACAUUAACCUAGUUUCCAAUUAAAAGAUUGAAAUAUUGUAGGUUUUUCAUGUCUGUGAUUUUAUCUGUAGCAAAUAAAUGAUCCAAGUGCAAGGACAAAGAGAUUUAAAGGAAGGUUAUUUACUCAAAGAGCUCUCCAAUUUCCUGAUGGUAGAAUUCACUGGGAAAAAAAAACAACACAACUUACACCUGAGGAACUGUAGCUGAAAUUGCAGAUAGCCACUAGAGAGAGAGAGAAAAAAAAGGCUUCUUUAAAAACCAGUAACACCGCUAUUAUUGCAAUUCUGACUGUCAAGAAGUAAUUGCAAAUUGUUCUUGUGCCUGGACCUCCACUUGCAGAUCACAGACUGACUAUAAUAAGAAAUUAUCCCUUAAAAAGAAGGAGCCCCAGAGGAGUAGCAAAGACCAGCAUAAAAUAGGCCACAAAAAUCCUAACCAUUGAAUUUGAAGCACUAACAUACAAAAAAGAAAUGCAAAAUCACUUAGAUAUAACUUGGCCAAAACCUGCAGCAGGGAGAGCAGCCAGAAGACAUUUGAAGGAUGCGUUUGCAUGGGAAAUUCUUACGGCUGAAGUACACAGAAAAGAACUAUUAAGGGGUGGGUAAGUAGGACUGAUGAAAUCAAAGGAAAAUGAAAGAAAAUGAUUUGACAGCAAUUGCGUGCUGUAUGGUUGCUGUGCUGUAUUUUCCCACGGGAAACAGUCAAAUGUGUUUCACUGGAAACAUUAAAAAACAACGCAGCCUGGACAGAAGCACAGAGAGAGUGCAGUAGUCAGAGAUGGGACUGGAGAGCAUUUCCACUCCUGAAUUACCUAUUUCCUGGCUGCCGUUUUAUUGUGAUUCAUUGUUUUUCCUUCUGGAACCAAUAACCUCCCACACAACAACCCCAAUCAAUAGUGAACAUUUGCCAUGCACAAACACGUGUUUAGAGGAUUGACCCCAACUUACCUACUGGUUGGUGUCAUUCAACACUGACGUUUAUGUGCAGAGUCUUGCCUCUGCAAAGAACCAGCAUCUCACUUUAUACAAAUGCAUACAGCCUAGGAAAUAAGUAGGAUGAGUUGGAAACCAGGUCCACUUGGAAAGUUAUGACCUUGUUGCUAUUGUGGGAGUCUGGGAUGACUCUCAUAACUGGAAUACCACCACUGAGGGGCCUCGGCUCUUUAGAAGGGAUAGGCAAGGUAGGAAGGGUGGGGGAGUUGUCCUCUAUGUCAAAGAGUGGAUAGACUGUGAGGAGCUCCCUCUGAGAAACAGUCAGGAACAGGUUGAGAGCCUGUGGGUUAAAACUAGGGAUAGGACUCAUAAAGGCCAGCUGGUGAUAGGGAUAUAUAUACUACAGGCCACCUGAUCAAGGGGAGACUGUUGACAAGGCCUUCUUGCUUCAGAUGCAGGAGACAUUGUGCUCACAGACUCUCGUCCUGGUGAGGGACUUCAACCAUCCAGAUAUCUGAUGGAGAGACCACACAGCGAGUUCCAAGAGGUCCAGGAGGCUCCUGGAAUCCAUUGAUGAUAACUUUCUGGUUCAGGUAUUGGACAGACCAACCAGCAGUGAAGUGUUGCUGGACCUGCUGCUCACCAAUGCAGAGAUGAUCAUUACAGGUGUUAAGGUGGGAGGCAGCCUGGGCUGCAGUGACCAUGCUGUGGCCGAGUUCAUGAUCUCGAGGAAUGCGGGCCUGGCAAACAGUGGGGUCAGGACCCUGAACUUCAGAAGAGCGAACUUUAAGCUGCUGAAGGAAUUUUUGGCCAAGAUCCCACUCUACUGGGUCCCUUCCAACUCAGGCCAUUCUGUGACUCUGUGAAAAAAAAUAAUAACUUUUUUUUUCUUUCCUCAAAGCAAGCUUCUACUUAAAAAAACUGCAUGCCCAGUUAUGUAAAAGUGAGAGAAAGUCUCAGUGCCCUACAGAUACCAUGUUGAGAACUGUUGAGUCAUGGCCUGAACCACUGAUUGAGCACCUGGGGAAAGGACCUGGUCAGCCCUGGGAGCACAGGUGAAGGCAAUUCAGCUGUGCGACCAGAAGGGGUGGAGCCUGGCUGCACCUCUCUUAGACCUCAUUUAAGGGCUGACUGCCACUGGGGAAGGAUCUCUGGUUGGAGAUGCCUCCCUUGUGGUGUUUUCCCAGUGAGCCUGGAUCAUCAGAGAUGGGUGAGUGUUUUUCCUUUCCUAUCACGCUACUCUCUUUGUCAUUAAACCUCCUGUAUCACCAUUCCAUCACGCUGAUCUUUCUGAUUGUUACACUGUAGAAAGAGGCUCUCCUUACAGCCACUGGAUCCAGCCUGGCAGGGCAGAGCUCCUCCAGCAUCACCAGUGUGUGUGGAUAGAAAAACCUGGGCAGGAGAGAUGCACCUUUGUUUGAUGCCUCACUGUUGUAUUUGGCCAGUCUAAUUCACAGUAACCUAUCUGACUGGUAGGGCCAGAGGUGUGAACUGCAGCAAAAGCUGCUUCGAUUGGAGAGGUAAAAAGCUAAUCCUAGCCCAAACCUCUGUUCCUGUGAUGAGCCAUGAACACCUGCUCAGCAGCAAGUGAACUCCUACAAAGUUCACUGAUUUCUCCAGGCUUUGGCGUGCAUUUCUGUAGCUGAUAAGCAGAAAUUUUCUCUCUAGAUGUUUGCCUGUUCAAACCACAAAGACACGGCAAGGUGAAAAGCUAUAGUUUCAAUUACGUUUUUUAAAUUGCACAUGUGUAAGAGAGGGAGCAAAUAAAAUAGAACCGUUGCUAUUCGGAAGGCACCCUGAGAACCAGGAAGUUGCUGUAAGAUGAAAUGCGACAGGGAUUCCCUGGAGGGCCCUACAGGAGGCUGGAAGGAGGGGAUUGGUUUUUUACCCACCACAUCUGAAACUGAGAAUCUCAGGCAGCAAAGGAACGGCGUUUGCUUAAAAACAGGUAAAUUAUUUAUUCUCAGUUCAUCUAAGAAAGGAACUAGAGAACUAUUUAGAGUACAGAGGAACAUAUAGUACUUGCUUACCUAACGAAAAGGUGUGAAAUGUGAGAGGUGAAAUUGUUAGAGAAGCUUAUAUCAUACUGCAGCCUUUUGCUGUCUUGUUAAUACCUGCUACAGUUAUACAAUGCAUUUAUGAAUAGAUGCUUGAAUUCAGAUAUCCUGCUAGUCAGUUUUUCUUACCAGAAAACACACACCUCAGAAAACAUUCAUCUAUGUGACAGGUAGCAUUUCACCCAUAUAAGAUGUUCAUGUUAUUUAGCUAACAGUACUGUAGGUGGAAUUACAGUACGGAUUCAUUACAGGUACACCCGUACAUGUGAUGCAACAUUUGGUCUAACAGUGGUUGACCCAGGGAAAGAAUAAGACCAAAGCCCUACUUGACAAGUGGUGUCCUGGCACGGAGGUCUCAGGAACCUCUGCUCUGAGCCUCAAGCUGGAUGGCCUCUCGCGAUCCUCUCUCCCUCUGAGCUUGGAGAAAGAGACGUGGAACAGAAUCUCCUGCUGUUUUGGUCUUAUAACGAGAUGGGAAGCAGAUCCUGCUUAACAUCAGAAACAAUAUUUAGUGACUUCUACAAAUGUACCUGAUAUAUACACACUAAUGCUUCAUAGGAGUGAUUUCAGGUGACCACAGCAACCUUUUGUUCAGCUGAUAGUUUAAGUAAUGUUUUUGCUUAAUUGCUGUUUUGCUUAAGACCUUAAUUCUUGCAAGAAACAACUUUGUGCUGCACCAUUCCCACGUGGAUGGAGAAAUGCAUGAAUUUUUCUUAACAUGACUUGACAGUGAAUUUAUUUCAUUGUGUCUGUUUUGACCUGAGCAACUAUUUUUAUUUCCUGUCCAUCUGAGUUACUACUUGAUUUGCUGAAAGCUAAGGAACCAGAGCUGUGAGAUUAAGAUUUCAAAAAUACAUGCUUUUGGAGAAGUUAUUUGGCUGAAACAAAUGCCCUGUGUUGGUCUGUCAGAGCCACGUGUCCUGUCCCUCUGAGCUAAGCUGUAUCGGAAGGCAAGACAGUCACUGCUGAAUGCCGCUUCAUUGAAAGUACAAGUAUUUUAAAAGUAUCCAAGUACUUCAAAUGGAAUUUCUAAUGCUCAAUACUUUGAGUUAAUAAAAAAAACUUCUAAAAA
rnacentral:lncRNA from 1 species